rnacentral:rRNA from 1 species
GUGUCAGCAGCCGCGGUAAUACGGAGGGGGCUAGCGUUGUUCGGAAUUACUGGGCGUAAAGCGCACGUAGGCGGAUCAGUAAGUUAGGGGUGAAAGCCCAGGGCUCAACCCUGGAACUGCCUUUAAUACUGCUGGUCUGGAGUCCGAGAGAGGUGAGUGGAAUUCCGAGUGUAGAGGUGAAAUUCGUAGAUAUUCGGAGGAACACCAGUGGCGAAGGCGGCUCACUGGCUCGGUACUGACGCUGAGGUGCGAAAGCGUGGGGAGCAAACAGGAUUAGAAACCCGCGUAGUCC